AUACGUAGGGGGCGAGCGUUGUCCGGAAUGAUUGGGCGUAAAGGGCGCGUAGGCGGCCCGGUAAGUCUGGAGUGAAAGUCCUGUUUUUAAGAUGGGAAUUGCUUUGGAUACUGUCGGGCUUGAGUGCAGGAGAGGUAAGUGGAAUUCCCAGUGUAGCGGUGAAAUGCGUAGAGAUUGGGAGGAACACCAGUGGCGAAGGCGACUUACUGAACUGUAACUGACGCUGAGGCGCGAAAGUGUGGGGAGCAAACAGGAUUAGAUACCCUGGUAGUCCACACUGUAAACGAUGAAUGCUAGGUGUAGGGGGUAUCGACCCCUUCUGUGCCGCAGUCAACACAAUAAGCAUUCCGCCUGGGGAGUACGGCCGCAAGGUUGAAACUCAAAGGAAUUGACGGGG
rnacentral:rRNA from 1 species